AUGGCUCUUAAAAAGGAUGGAAAAUCUUAUGUUGAUGCUAAUGAACUUUAUGCGGAUUUGAUGUUUCUUCAAAAUUUCACACCAAAAGAAAAUAUUGGGCCGGAUGGAAUUCUAAAGUUUUUUAAGCGGCACGCUUGUUUCCACAAUGCAAGUGUUGCAUAUAGAAUUCUGUUGAUUAUCCCUGUGACUAUUGUAUCAGCAAAACGAAGCUUUUCUACCAUGACACAACAAAGACUCACUGAUUUGGCCACGAUAGCGUUGGAGAGUGAUGCAUUGGAGAAGAUUGAUUAUGAGGAUAUUAUUGAAAUUUGA
rnacentral:rRNA from 1 species